AUGAAGACAUAUAUGAAGAUAUAUUUAUAUGUCGUUCAGGUGAAGGGUAAGGAAAGAUAUGAAAUGUUGAAGAAAAUAAACGACAGUUUGGAACUUAGCGACGUUAUGCCUCCAUGUGACUUGGACAAAUACAGACAGAAACUGAGUCUAUCGGCUCAAACAAGUCUGUAUUUUCACCUCCCAGUCCAAUCAGAACCUGUGGAGGUGUGCGUACAACAGCCAGGCAACUUAAAACUAGGAAACAACAGGAAUGGUAAAAGAUGGAUGUGUCUGCUUUUACCUCCAUGUCACAAAGCUGACAGGUCAGUAAAAAUUCAAUGUUUUUGUUUGAGUUCUAUUCUGAGAAUAUUGUUGUGGCUGCGUGGUGUGUCCUUUUUUAUUUCGGCUGCCAUGUUAAUAGGUUUGAGCUUGCACACUGCCUGCGAUCUUAGGCUGCAACAUCAUUCAAAUGGAAUAUGCGCUUUUUCAGCAGUCGGACUGACUGAAGGAGAUCUGACCAUGCAGGUUCUGGAGCUUUCUGAGGGACCUUUUUGGGCUAAUGAAGCAGAUGAUGAACUUUCAGAGGAACACAGUGACGGCGUGCCCUCGGAGACCGUCUCAGCCUAACGCACCGGGUGUAGGACAGACAUGCUGUCUGGCCAAACAACCAGAGAAAUUAACCUCAAUAUAAGGACAAGUACUGGCCCACGGACCUGACGGACCUCAGCCAAACUGCCAUGCUUUAGGUAAUUAGAAUUUUAUUCAUUUGGACUCACAGUUCUGAUGAUGAAAUCUACAUUCUGCAUGUAAGUGGUAUCUGUGCUUUAGCUCUUGGGUCUCUGUGCAUCAGCUCAGCCAGCCACACAGCAGAAAGAGGAGGCGCACCAGCCCAUGUGCUUAAAGCACUACUGGUCCCAGGAGAUAGCAGAGCUUCCUCGACCCAUCCAGCAUCCAGGUGAGUCUUUAGAAAUGAAACAAUUCAUUCUAACACAAUGUCUGGUUUUCAGUGAGUCGGAGAAGAUAGUGUCUGAAAAGAAGCCCGCAGGAACGGUGUCUCCGACAGGAAGUCCCACUCCAGCAGCUCCGCCCUCAUCAGUGCAACACAACACAAUGGCUAGACACCUGGGUGUGGACAGACACUUCCAUGCUCCGUAGAGCCAUCUGGAACUAUAUUCAGUGCAAGUUCGGGAUUCGGUAAGUCUCUUCACUGCUCACAGUUUCAGAAAUAUGUAGCAACAUUGAAUAUGUUUAUUCAUUCUACAAGGAACCAUUUAAAAUGCUGAAGAUGUCUCUGAGACUCCCCCGGGGCCUUCAAAUAAGCACCAGCGGGAGAUCAUUUGUUUAUGCAUCUCAACAGGUCCAAGGCCAGGUGAAUCAUUAAAAAAAAGAAACACACACUUCCACUUGUAUGUACGGCAUAAGAUAUGAUGACUAUGGCUACAGUGGGGAAUAAUAAUCGAUACAGAUUUCGAUCGUUAAAUAAUUUCUUGCAUCUCUAUAAGAAGCAGAGGUCACAGACUUGUUUUUGUUUUCCAGCGGUUUAACAUACGCUUCUGGCAUGUGUGCGCUGAGAUGCUGGACCAGAGGAGGACAGACAUGCUGUACGGACAUGCUGUCUCUCCACUACUCACAGUUUGCAUUCAUGCUGUCAAUGUACCAGACCAGGCAAUCUGAACCAGUUGGUCUGAAAACAGUGUAUCUGGAGUGUAAAAGGGAUCAACAAGUAUAUGGACAAAUCCACAACAAUGUUAGCCAUGCCCAGCAAAUCUGCAUUCAUGCUCUCAACAUACCAGACUGGCCCUGUGGCGAUUGUAACUGAGAACAGAAUGUUCCUGCUACACGGAUUAGUCGACUUGACAAUUUCAGGGAAUGCCAUUUUAACCACAAAAUAAUAUUAAUCGUCUUUACUCCACUCCUCCCUGUAUUUCCUCAGCUCUUUUACUUCCUUCUGUAACUGAGUUUUCUCCUGCUCCAAGCUGUCCAACUUACUUAUCAGUUAAUUGCAUUCUGUGUUGCGCUUGUCCAGCUCCCUUAGAAGAAAGUCUACUUGAAGAGCCAUUUCAUCAUCUACAUUUUCAAAAUCAUUUGUUGUUGAUUUGUGUGUGUGAUUAUUUCUGCAGUGUUACUCAUCUUGCAUUUCACAUCAGUAACGCUCUGUUCCCUUCCUUUAGCAUCAUUCUCAAUCAAGCCACAGCCCAGAUAGGAGCGUCUCCGUGGAGAGACAGGUGAUGUGUGUGUGUGUGUGUGUUUUAUAUAUAUAGAUAUGAUCUGAAGCCUGUGAAGAUGCAACAAAGCUGCUGCCUAGGGGUAGGGUGACCAAACGUCCUGGUUUUCACAUCAUGUCCUGGCAUGUAUAGAUAGUAUUUUGUAAUAUAAGAUUUUCAGUAAAACUUUACAAUAAGGUUCAUUUAUUAAACAUUAAUGUAUUAACUAACAUGAACUAACAAUGAGCAAUACAUUUGUUACAGUAUUAAUUUUUGUUAAUGUUAGUUAAUAGAAAUAAAGCUGUUCAUUGUUUGUUCA
ensembl:lncRNA